rnacentral:rRNA from 1 species
UGCGUAGGCGGGUCUUUAAGUCAGGGGUGAAAUCCUGGAGCUCAACUCCAGAACUGCCUUUGAUACUGAAGAUCUUGAGUUCGGGAGAGGUGAGUGGAACUGCGAGUGUAGAGGUGAAAUUCGUAGAUAUUCGCAAGAACACCAGUGGCGAAGGCGGCUCACUAGCCCGAUACUGACGCUGAGGCACGAAAGCGUGGGGAGCAAACA